UUACAAUAUUAAAAGCAAAAUAAGCUCAAAGGAGAGCUAUGACACGUAAGCUUAAAAAAUCAUCCAAUUAGGGAUAAGCUAUUUUACACAUUGUUUAUUCAAUUCUGAGUUUCUUCUAUGGCUUUAAACUACUUAGCUCUGGCCCAAAAAAGAGCCCACUUCAAUAGCCCUAACUUCUGAAACGAUGAUAGCUUCUAUCGCCUUCCCCUCAGACACUUCGUCUUCUCCGCUUCGAGUUCUUGCGACCUCCGUUACCGCAAUCUCACUUCUUAUCAAUCAAUAGUUUUGUUAACUUCACUCUUUAUGAUUUCGUUUCGCAUCCCUCCCUUUCUCAUUCUUUAUAUACUACUGUUUUUUCUUUCUUUUGCUACAAACCAAAACACUCAAAUCUCCUCAAAUCGAUCUCAAGCUCUAGCAUGGCCAAUGAUCAGGAAGUUAUGUUCUUCAGAGCUAUAUCACUAGGUCCCCACGAAACCCAGAUAUGCUACCGUCUAAUCCAUUUCUGGGAGCUCCGAAACCCACUGAAAAAAAAACAUUUAUUGGUCUGGAAAUUCUCCUCAUCGACGAACAGGUUCGUGAAUCCUCCAAAAUUUAGUUUCCUAUAUUUUCCACUGAUUUUAUAUAUCGUUAAACAUGGUCGUGUUUCCACUGAUUUAAUAUAUUGUUAAACAUGGUUGUCUUAUAUAUUUUCCUUCUGUGUUAUGUUAAUUUUUACAUCUUCUUCAAGGAACUGUUAUUCAAGGAUUCAUUCCAUCAGGAUGUGUUAAAAAAUAUUUGCCUGACAUGAAACAAGGAUCAGUUUACAGUCUCUUGACCUUCUACGGAUCCAAAAACAAAACGGUGCACCGGGUUGCUUAUUAUAGCGUAACCGUUUCUUUCUCAUAGAACUCUAUCAUGUCGGUUCUUAAUGACAGUCCCGUCCCCUUUGACGAAGACCGUUUACGCUUCCAUUCAUAUGAGGAUUUUGAAGCUAAAUGUGAUCUCAAAUGUGACCUCUACGAUGUUGUUGGACACAUGAAGCUGGUCAAUGGACAUGAGAGCGUCCCAUCCUUAACGAAGCGGAGAUAGCAACUAUGCGGCAUCUUUUGGUUCAUGUGCAAUCGCAUGACGGACCUGUUUUGAUCAAUUGAGCAGAUAAUGUUUCCAAAUUUUCACGAAUUCUGGUGAGAGAGUAUUGUUCUGGAUAUAUUGAUAUGCAAUUGAUUUGGUAUGAUCCUUGAAAAACCUUGCCAUUCUAUGUCUUAAAUCUAAGUUGUUAUAUAGAACUGAGUUAUAUCUUAUACCUUUUUAAUGUAGGGAUUUGGGUUGUCAUGUAUAGCUAGACCACGCCAAUGUGAUGGUCAAACAUACGAGUUUGUGUUCACACAUGACCUAGCUAUCGUACGUUUGAUGCGAGUACUGAACUUUUUUAAGAUGGAAAGGGCAUUGGCACCGUUCACACCAACUCAUUGAGACAAAGAUGAGUGGCAUCCACUGCAAGGCGCUUGGCGUUUUAUUCAAGCACGCACUCUUUGGAUCAUCUUCUUGACAUAAUGACAUUGGAGUUGAACACAAUCUUUCUCAAGUUUAACAUGCUUCCCUCCUUGAAAACAAGUGAGUCUCUAUAGGCUGAUUUUUGGUGGCUCAUAGUGGAAGCAACAACACGGAGUACGAUUCAUAUCUCCAAGACCAGUAUAGAUAUUAGUCAGUGGUGUUGGUUGAGAUAUGGUUUUACUCAGAAUGCAGUGAGUGUGAUGGAACUUGGGAAAGAAGCACGUGGCUCAAUUUAUCAAACACUGUGACAUUGUGGUCAUCUGCUUCUCCUCAGUUCCGACAGACCUCAACAACCUCAGAGGAUGGUGAAGGUUUUGUGUUUCUGCUGAAGCUCGAACUCAGUUACAAGCGAUGCUUGAAAGGGGCUGAAACCAGUCUUUUUGGCAGUAUAUAUACAGAGGGGUAUCGACAUCUGGAGAGUGGUGAACCGAGGCGGGAGAUUGGGAAUAUGAUGAAGUCUGGAGAAUGUUGUUCAACUGAUGCACUGAGAUUUGAGAGGCUUGGUGGAUGUAAGAUAAAGCUUGGUGAAUGUAAAACAAGAUUCUAAUGAUUUUAAUACACUUAUGCAUUAUUUUUACAACAAUCAUAUAUCGUUUAUUGUAUGUGCUUUCUAGGAUCAUAUAUGUGUUGGCUAAUUAAUACAGUUUAUGGCUUA